UAUCCUUUAUAGCUUCUCUCGUUGAUCGCUAGAGAGUUUCCCGUUUGGAAAUCGUCGCCUGUUUAUCAAAAACAUCUUUUCUUGUUAGUUUCUGAAGUAUGGCCUGCCCGCUGACGUAUAUUUGAGUUGAAGGGCCGCGGUAUUUUGACCGUGCAAAGGUAGCAUAGUCAUUAGUUCUUUAAUUGUGAUCUGGUAUGAAUGGCUUGACGAGACAUGGGCUGUCUUAGGUAUGGAUUUGUUGUUGAAUUUUGAGUUUAAGUUAAAAUUCUUAGAUGUUUUUAUGGGACGAGAAGACCCUAUAGAGUUUGACAUUUGAUUGCGUAUUUCUUGUUGUUUGUUUAAAAUUUUUACGUGUCUCUUGUUUUGUUGGGGUGAUGGGAGGAAUUUAUUUAACUCCUCUUUUUGUGUAAUAUAUUGAUGUAUAUAUAUUUUGAUCCAUUUAUUUUGAUUGUAAGAUUAAAUUACCUUAGGGAUAACAGCGUUAUCUUCCCUGAGAGUUCUUAUUGGCGGGGGGGUUUGCGACCUCGAUGUUGGAUUAAGGUUAAUUUUUGGUGUAGGAGCUGAAUUGAUUGGGUCUGUUCGACCUUUAAAAUCUUACGUGAUCUGAGUUCAAACCGGCGGAAGGAACAGGAGACGUAGGAUCGAGAUAAAGUUAUGAGAAAGCGGAUAUCAUGG
rnacentral:rRNA from 1 species